GCGGUUGUGGCUCAGUGGUAGAGCACUUGCCUUACGUGUGUGAGGCCCUGGGUUUGAUUCUCAGCACCGCA
rnacentral:tRNA from 1 species